rnacentral:misc_RNA from 1 species
GUGGCAGUCUUUUAUUUCUUUUUCGUCAGACUUGUGUUCUUUUUCGGUUCCUGCUUCGCUCACCGAUCGUUCCUCCUCUCUGUGUCUUUAGCUUACUUUUUUUCUGAGAAGAUGGAUGAGUUGCCGGAUAAUCCUCACUGAAGGAGUUGUUCCGGCGAUAAGGUUGUCCUCGAAGUUGAAAUCGCUGGAGGCGAAGAUGACAUUGCCUCCAACUCUUCUGCUUUGUCUUCUUCUUCUUCUUUUUCCAAUUCGCAUUUUUAACAUUGCUACUACUUCUGUGAGCUCGACUUUUGAGUCAUUUUAUGAUUUUCGUGUAUCAACUCGUUACAGUUAAUUUAGCGUAGUCAUAUUCAUUUAUCAAUAGGAUUACAAUGCAAUUACAAAUGGUGAUAGGUGGAUGAUAGUUAGGGAGUGCCUGGAAUUGUUGUUAUUGAUUAUUUUUAAAGUAUGAAGAGUUGGCUUUGUAUCUGGAGAUUCCUAUCUCCCUAGAUAGUUUUUAUGUAUGUGCCACUUUUUCUUUGUGUUUGUGCAGUAACAUUUGGCCUGUUAGUUUGUUCAUAUAGUAAUCAUAUGCUAUUUUAUAUCUAAAUCUUCUCCACUCAGGGGUUAUUGACGGUAGUUUGUUCAAACAUAGCAUGUCUGGAGAAACAUCAACCACUGGGGAAUCGGAUUCAGGUUCUAGCCAUCAGGGAAAAUCUGGUGGAUAUGGAGAGACUUAUAAUCUGCGCAUUUUGACAGCAAAAUUAUUCGAUGAUAGAAUUCCUUUCAAAAAGAAGCUCAAAUUACUUCAUCGAUUUGCAAAUGUUAAAGAUGAUGGAACUGUACAAUUAGAAGUGCCUGGAGAUAUCAAACCACUGAGGAUGGAUCUUGCCAAAGUUGCUCAAGAUGAAUGUACUAAAGAGGAACCUUUUGACACAGCUGAGCCUUAUGAUAUACCUCCCUUGCAAAUAGUUAUGCUUAUUGUUGGAACACAGGGAGAUGUUCAACCAUUUAUUGCCAUUGGAAAGAGUCUACAGGAAGAUGGUCAUAGGGUUAGAUUAGCAACUCACUCAAAUUUCAAGGACUUUGUAUUGACUGCUGGAUUGGAAUUUUUCCCUCUAGGUGGAGAUCCAAAAGUUCUUGCUGGCUGUAAGUAUACAGAUUUCUUUCUCUAAAGUACUUUCUUAUGCUCACCUACUUUUAUCUGAUUCUUUUUUUGUGUAUUGCAAAAGUUGUGGGUAAAGACUCUUUGAUCAAUAACAACCCCAAUUUUUAUCUGAUUCUUGCUCUCUUCUAUUCAUGUUUAGUUAUUUCACACAAGGACAUGGAUGAAGUGAACAAUUCAUUCAGUUCUCUAGAUGACGUGUUUUUUUAAGAAACUGAAUUGUUAACUGAAUCAGAUUAGAACUUGAUGUCUGAGAUAUAAUUUUCAGAUGUAAUAUUCAAGAUAAAAUUUUCUUUUGAGCACUCCUCCCUUCUCCUUCUCUUCCCCUUUCUACUGUUGAAUUUUCUGAGGUUGCUGCUUCACCUUUAAUGUGCUUUCCACAUAAAUUAUUUUUUUCCCUGCAGAUAUGGUCAAGAAUAAAGGUUUUUUGCCAUCUGCUCCUUCAGAAAUACCUAUUCAGAGGCAACAAAUAAGGGAUAUCGUAUUCUCUUUACUUCCUGCAUGCAAGGAUCCUGAUCCUGAUACAAACAUUCCAUUUAAAGAAGAUCCCCCAGCAUAUGGACAUACACAUAUUGCAGAGGCACUAGAAGUGCCAAUUCAUAUAUUCUUUACAAUGCCUUGGAUGCCUACUAGUGAAUUUCCCCAUCCUCUGUCUCGUGUUAAGCAACCAGUUGCUUAUAAAUUGUCAUAUCAAAUUGUAGAUUCAAUGAUUUGGCUCGGAAUACGGGACAUGAUUAAUGAGUUUAGGAAGAAAAAGCUGAAGCUAAGACCUGUCACAUAUUUAAGUGGAUACUAUAACUCUCCUCUUGAUCUGCCUUAUGGGUAUAUAUGGAGUCCUAGCCUUGUUCCCAAACCAAAAGACUGGGGACCAAAGAUUGAUGUUGUUGGAUUUUGCUUCCUUGACCUUGCAUCAAAUUAUAAACCUCCUGAUUCACUUGUGGAAUGGCUAGAAGGUGGUGAUCCACCCAUCUAUAUUGGUUUUGGUAGCCUUGUGAGUUUCUUUCUCAGUUAUGUCACCUAGACUUUAUAUCUACUUCUAAUUUAGCCGAACAAAAAUAAUGAGACAAUGAGUUAUUGUUAGGAUGCCUAUUUUAUAAUCUCUUGCAUUGAGAAAUAUGUUAAUUAAUUGUCAAGUAUUUAUGGGAAAAUAGAGGAUAAUUGGACAAUCAUAUUGGAUUUGUUAAAAUGGAAGUAUUUGUACAUAAAUUUAGUAAACAUGCUCACAUUUGCAAAAGCCUCUUCAAGAACCAGAGAAGAUGACCCAUAUCAUAGUUAGAGCAUUGGAAGAGACUGGUCAAAGAGGCAUCAUUAACAAGGGCUGGGGGGAUCUUGGGAAUUAAUCAAAGGAGUCUGUCUACUUACUGGACAAUUGCCCUCAUGACUGGCUGUUUUCAAGAUGCAAGGCUGUGGCAAAACUUAACUGUUAUCAUGGCUGAAAUUAUUAUAAGCUAGAAUUGAAAUUCAUGGUUGUCCAGUUAAUUUUGCACUUCUUCCUUUGUCAUUAAUUUUAAUCAAAUUGGUUCUUUUUUCUGAUUCUCUUAUUCUUUGCUGAAUUUAAUUUUUAUUUUCUAAUAAACAACUAAAUCACUUAAUAACAAUAUGAAAAGCAAAAACAAAGAGGUUGUACUUUCAAAAGGCCAAAUCUACUCUUAUUUUGGCUUGAAAUGGAAUAUUUUGUGCUAAAUCUUUAGCUAUAAUAUCUCACAUUAUAAUUUUCCCUCUGAAUUUCAAUUCAAAUUAUCUCAAUAUCAUUGACAUGCAAUAGACAAUUUAAUGCAUAAAAAUAAAAAAUGUAACUUGAGGAUGUCAACUAUUAUGCUGAGUUUAGACUUUCAAAUGACACAUACCUUUUCGAGUGUGACAGUUCGGCAGUUUAUUCUUUUGCUCUUUUAUGCGCAUGGCUUUAUAAUGCUAUUAGACUGAGGUGCAAAAAGCUAUUAUUUUACUAAUAAGCUUUACCUUAGUAGUACUAGAGUUGUCUCCAGAAGUUUGAGGUAUUGAGUUCAAGGCCCAGGUAGAACCAAAUGAUAAAAAAAACAAAAAAAGUUAUUAUUUUUCAAAAUAUGGAAUGAAAAGCAUUGAUAUCGUAUAAGUGGGGUUUUUCUUUUUCUGAUUUUUAAAUUGAAUAAUUGAUAUGCUUAUUGAAACCUUAAAAUUUUCAGGUUCAUCAUUGUGGUGCUGGGACAACUGCUGCUGGUCUUAAAGUUGGGGUAAAUUGAUGUACUUCUUUUGAAAACUAAUGUUUGUAUGAAUUGUAUUGCUAAUUUAUGAUUGGUGAUCGAUUCUCUUCAACAGUGUCCUACAACCAUUGUUUCUUUCUUUGGGGACCAGCCUUUCUGGGGAGAGCGGGUUCAUGCCAAAGGAUUAGGUCCUGCACCAAUCCCAGUUGAUGAGUUUUCACUUGAAAAGUUGGUUGAUGCAAUAUACUUCAUGCUAGAUCCCAAGGUAGGCAUGUAUUUCCUGUCAAGUCUGCUUCGUUAUAGAAGUUUACUGUAGUGCUUGGCCUUUGUCCCUGUUGUUCAUUGGGUAUACUAAGUCCAGGUUUGGUUGCUACGAUUUCUUGCUUUUUCAUGCUUAGUUGGAUUAACCUUUUGUAAGGAGAUUGCAAGUUCUUCUUAGAUUUUUCUUCUUCUAUAAUAUGAAUGGUAAAUUGCACUAAAGGUCACUGAAUUAUAUUGUAGUCAUAAAAGAUCAAUUACUAUAUUUAAGUCAGUAAACUUUAAUUUUAUUUUAAUUAAAUCUAAUUGAACAAAUUACAAUCAAUCAAUUAAUAGAAAUCUAUAGUGGGAAUUUUGUGAGGUUUUCUUAGCUUGAUAUCAAACAGUUUGGGAUCCAUUAGAUCAACUUAUAAUAUUUUACUCUCUCCUAACAAGCUAAAAACUAUAGAAGAAAAUCACUACCUAUUGGUCUUGUGAGCCCUAAAUGAUUUGAGAUCAGCUUAAUAAAACAAUAAAAA